AUUGAACGCUAGCGGGAUGCCUUACACAUGCAAGUCGAACGGAGUGGCGAACGGGUGAGUAAUGUAUCGGAACGUGCCCAGUAGCGGGGGAUAACUACGCGAAAGCGUAGCUAAUACCGCAUACUAUUGGAGCGGCCGAUAUCGGAUUAGCUAGUUGGUGGGGUAACGGCUCACCAAGGCGACGAUCCGUAUCUGGUGUGAGAGGACGACCAGCCACACUGGGACGGAGACAAGGCCCGGACUCCUACGUGAGGGAGCGGUGGGGAAGGUUAGACAAGGGGGGAAACCCUGAUCCAGCCAUCCCGCGUGGGCGAAGAAGGCCUGCGGGUUGUAAAGCACUUUUGGCAGGAAAGCGGUACCUGCAGAAUAAGCACCGGCUAACUACGUGCCAGCAGCCGCGGUAAUUC
rnacentral:rRNA from 1 species